rnacentral:rRNA from 1 species
AUUGAACGCUGGCGGCAGGCCUAACACAUGCAAGUCGAAAGAGUGGCGGACAGGUGAGUAGUGUCUGGGAAAAAGCCUGAUGGAGGGGGAUAACUACUGGAAAAGGUAGCUAAUAACGCAUACCAUCAGAUGGGCCAAGAUGGGAUUAGCUUGUUGGGGGGGUAACGGCUCACCAAGGCGACGAUCCAUAGCUGGUCUGUGAGUAUGACCAGCCCCACUGGAACUGCGACCCGGUCCGUACUCCUACAGGAGGCAGCAGUGGUGAAUAUUGCACUAUGGGCGCACGCCUGAUGCUGCCAUGCCGCUUGUAUGAAUAAGGCCUUCGGGUUUUCAAGUACUUUCAGCGGGGUGGCUUUACCUGCAGAAGAAGCACCGGCUAACUCCGUGCCAGCAGCCUCGGUAAUAC